GUUAAGAUCUUGUCACUAGUGCUCGCUGGAACAAUACAGAGAAGAUUAGCAUGGCCCCUGAGCAAGGAUGACACGCAAAUUCGUGAAGCGUUCCAUAUUUUU